CCUUUGUACACACCGCCCGUCGCUACUACCGAUUGAAUGGCUUAGUGAGGUCUCCGGAUUGGCUUUGGGGAGCCGGCAACGGCACCUUGUCGCUGAGAAGCUGAUCAAACUUGGUCAUUUAGAGG
rnacentral:rRNA from 1 species